GACGAACGCUGGCGGCGUGCUUAACACAUGCAAGUCGAACGGAAAGGCCCUGCUUGCAGGGUACUCGAGUGGCGAACGGGUGAGUAACACGUGGGUGAUCUGCCCUGCACUUCGGGAUAAGCCUGGGAAACUGGGUCUAAUACCGGAUAGGAGCCAUUUUUAGUGUGAUGGUUGGAAAGUUUUUUCGGUGUAGGAUGAGCUCGCGGCCUAUCAGCUUGUUGGUGGGGUAAUGGCCUACCAAGGCGGCGACGGGUAGCCGGCCUGAGAGGGUGGACGGCCACAUUGGGACUGAGAUACGGCCCAGACUCCUACGGGAGGCAGCAGUGGGGAAUAUUGCACAAUGGGCGCAAGCCUGAUGCAGCGACGCCGCGUGGGGGAUGACGGCCUUCGGGUUGUAAACUCCUUUCGCUAGGGACGAAGCUUUGUGACGGUACCUAGAUAAGAAGCACCGGCUAACUACGUG
rnacentral:rRNA from 1 species